rnacentral:lncRNA from 1 species
CUCAAACCUAAAUUGUAUUUAGGCCAAGGGCAGAACAUGGCUAAAUUCAAAUUACUAUUGUAUUGUAUAUGAGGACUUCAAAGUAGAUGUAAUCAAAUUAUGUUAAUUAGGGGUCAAUUCAUCUAACAAACUCUUGUACUAUACCCUAGCUCUUAAGGGCAUAUUGUUGAUAUUCCUCUUGUUAGCAUCUCUCUAUUAGUCUUUUAGCCUCCUUAUUCUUAAUAAGAAAACUUAAUAGGUGUUGUUCUCAUAUUAUCACGCCUUUGUGUGUUCUUUAAUAGGAGUAUGUUGAUAAUUUAUAGUAAUGUUCAACCAAAAUUUCCAUUGAAGCACAAUUGUUAAAGCCAUUUGAAUCUCCCAACAAACUUACUUAACAUAGCUAUUCCAUACUUAAAAAAACAAAAGCCUAAUUAUUCCAUUUUUUCUGAUUAACAAAAUAGAACAAAAUGGAGC